UACGUAGGGCGCAAGCGUUGUCCGGAAUUAUUGGGCGUAAAGAGCUCGUAGGCGGUGUGUCGCGUCGGAUGUGAAAGCCCGGGGCUUAACCCCGGGUCUGCAUUCGAUACGGGCAGACUGGAGUGUGGUAGGGGAGAUCGGAAUUCCAGGUGUAGCGGUGAAAUGCGUAGAUAUCUGGAGGAAUACCGGUGGCGAAGGCGGCAUCCUGGACCGGCAUUGACGCUGAGGAGCGAAAGCUAGGGGAGCAAACGGG
rnacentral:rRNA from 1 species